AUUAGCUAGUUGGUGAGGUAAUGGCUCACCAAGGCGACGAUCCCUAGCUGGUCUGAGAGGAUGAUCAGCCACACUGGGACUGAGACACGGCCCAGACUCCUACGGGAGGCAGCAGUGGGGAAUAUUGCACAAUGGGCGAAAGCCUGAUGCAGCCAUGCCGCGUGUAUGAAGAAGGCCUUCGGGUUGUAAAGUACUUUCAGUUGUGAGGAAGGGUGUGUAGUUAAUAACUGCGCAUUUUGACGUUAGCAACAGAAGAAGCACCGGCUAACUCCGUGCCAGCAGCCGCGGUAAUACGGAGGGUGCGAGCGUUAAUCGGAAUUACUGGGCGUAAAGCGCAUGCAGGUGGUUUGUUAAGUCAGAUGUGAAAGCCCGGGGCUCAACCUCGGAAGGUCAUUUGAAACUGGCAAACUAGAGUACUGUAGAGGGGGGUAGAAUUUCAGGUGUAGCGGUGAAAUGCGUAGAGAUCUGAAGGAAUACCAGUGGCGAAGGCGGCCCCCUGGACAGAUACUGACACUCAGAUGCGAAAGCGUGGGGAGCAAACAGGAUUAGAUACCC
rnacentral:rRNA from 1 species